AGCUCCAAUAGCGUAUAUUAAAGUUGCUGCAGUUAAAAAGCUCGUAGUUGGAUUUCUGGUGUAAUGCGCCUGUCCCGCCUCGAUUAGAGUGUGUGUGACGGUGUGCGUUUGCCAUCCUUGUACAGAACGUCGCUGCUUCAUUGUUGGCGGCGCGAUGUACAUCAUUUACUUUGAAAAAAUUAGAGUGUUUAAAGCAGGCUUUUGCUAUGAAUACAUUAGCAUGGAGUAAUAAUUUAGGACUUCGGUUCUAUUUUGUUGGUUUCUAGUACUGAAGUAAUGAUUGAUAGGGAUAGUUGGGGGUGCUAGUAUUCCUUGGCCAGAGGUGAAAUUCUUGGAUUCAAGGAAGACUAACUUAUGCGAAAGCAUUCACCAAGGAUGUCUUCUUUAAUCAAGAACGAAA
rnacentral:rRNA from 1 species